UCCCCGCGACGUCCAUAUCCAGGCGUCCGCGCUCACAGUCCUCGAGAUCGAUCUCGGCGACCAGCAGCCCAU